AAGCGACCUAAAGUCGAACCAAUUAUUAGACUAUUUGACUCAAACAUAGAUUUACGAGGUACCGAGAGGCGUUUGCUAAAAGAAAUUCUCAGCUAUUGUAUUUAUAUAAAAUGUUUUCUAACCAUAAGUCGAUAGGUCAAACUCGUGUGUUUAGAGAAACCUAUUAUAUUCGUUUGUAAUUUGAUUGGUGGCAUACCUAUUAAGCUCGAAAAAAAUUCAUAAUUUAUAACUUGAUGUUAUCUUUUGUCUGCAGAAAUGCUGCUUUGUUCUUUUUGUUCUGAUAUGGACUUCUACAUUACAAUCAUCAGAUGCAGUGAGUGUGUUCUGCUGGAAGUGUGAGGAUGGGGAGGACUGUUGCGACAACUGGGCCGGGCUCCCCUUCUGCUGCCCCUCCACUCAAUUGACUGACUCAGGUUCAGUGUCCUCUGCGUACUACUGUGUGAACAACGAUGACUGCCCCACCCUGUUCGAUCGCAGCCGGCUGGGGGAGGAGGAGGCGUCCGAUCUGGACCACUGUUGUCAGCUGACUCACAAGUGUUGCGACACCUGGGACUCCUUGGAAGACAAACUCAACACACUCGCUGCAUCUUUCGGAGGAUUGGUACCCUUCUUGCUCGGGGUCAUCUGUGUCAGUCUGUUCCUCCUCGUGGCCUUCUGUUGCAUCUGCUGCAGAAUCAUCUGCUGCAGGGGAGACGGAUACAAAUGACGACACCAUGUCACACCAUGUCAUCAGAUGCACAAAUAGACGACAUUUUAGUUAUUACACAAUUAGCAGUUACGAAAAAACUUAUGUUACCAAUUAUUUAAACGAUUACUUAGAAACUUUUAAUCCAGAUUUAGAAAAGUUUAUAUAAAAUAUAUAUUAAGGUACUGAGCGAACA